rnacentral:misc_RNA from 1 species
GGAAACUGAAGAUUAUUUUUCAGACUACUCCAUAUGUGAAAAAGUAGUUUUCGCUGGAAACAGAACACAAGCAUUUAGUAUCUAUCAAAAGUGUUGUGGGCACAAAACUGAAGCAAUUCUAGACAAGCUUCAUGGUGGUUAGUUAUAUGUUGUGACUUUUCUUUUCCGCUGUUUUGGGCACUGCACAAGGAAUAUGCAAUACUCUCCACACCUACAACUUCUCUACAAUCAAGUGUACAUGAAUCGAGAAACAAUAGCGGAAUCAUCACUCUGAAUCUGAACCGUUCACCAUCCUCUCAAGUGAAUCCAUGUUCCCAGCUUCUGGGAUGGUAUGUAACCGAAGCUUUUCAGCAUCCUCAUCGGCCACUCCAAAUAUUUCCUUAACAGUUAACGAGCUAUCCCUUGAGCAGAAUUCUGGAAGCUCAGAGAGAUAAUAAAUCUUCCCAAAAAGUGUUUGCACAGCAAGUUUUCUCUUCAAACCCUUCUCAGAAUAGCCUGAUAUAUCCAUAACAACUGGACCUUUGUCUUGAACAAUUCGUCGUGAAAUUUCGUUCAGUAUUCCAGCUACUUCAGAAUCAGUCAGCAUUGAUGCUUUCCUCAAUUGAAUUAAAUAUGCUACUAAAUCCGGGCUAAAUGGCUUCUCAUUCAAGGAGUACCGAAUAUAUUUUCGGAAAAUCUCCUCCAUAUCAAAACCUGUCUUUUGUGCAAGUCCCUUU